UCCACUCCUCUUCUUCUCACCACAACCCACCUCUCCAUCGCCAAAGGAAAAAUCUCAUGGUCUUCUUCUGGUACGAUUUCCAUUUAAGAAUCCACAUCGUCAACGUUAGACCACAUAGCGAAGGAGCUAUGUACUACUCGAAAUCCAAAUCCAGGUUUUCUUUCUUCUUCUGUUUUGUUUCUCUAAUCUCGGUUAUACGAUUCAUCUUCACUUAUGCUUGUUAAUGGCGUUUAGAUUCCGCGAAACUAAUCAAAAUAUUGUUCGGUAUGCGAUUCUUCUCGGAUUCUAGCUUUUGAU
rnacentral:lncRNA from 1 species